rnacentral:rRNA from 1 species
GAUGAACGCUAGCGGCAGGCCUAACACAUGCAAGUCGAGGGAGAAGCCCUUCGGGGCAGAAACCGGCGCACGGGUGCGUAACGCGUAUGCAACCUACCUUUCACAGGGGGAUAGCCCGAAGAAAUUUGGAUUAAUACCCCAUAAUAUUAUUGGAUGGCAUCAUUUGAUAAUUAAAAUUACGAUGGUGAAAGAUGGGCAUGCGUCCUAUUAGCUAGUUGGAGUGGUAACGGCACCCCAAGGCUACGAUAGGUAGGGGUCCUGAGAGGGAGAUCCCCCACACUGGUACUGAGACAGGGACCAGACUCCUACGGGAGGCAGCAGUGAGGAAUAUUGGUCAAUGGUCGGAAGACUGAACCAGCCAUGCCGCGUGCAGGAAGAAUGCCUUAUGGGUUGUAAACUGCUUUUAUAUGGGAAGAAUAAGGAGUACGCGUACUUU